UUGUCGAGUCACCGAUCGCCUCGUCGUCGCUGGUGCGUUUGCAAGUCGGUGGAAUAUUAUUAAACAACAAUUACCCAUGUUUUGGCUCACCAAAUCAUUGUUUGAACAAUAUCGAGUGCAAGUCCGGUGUGAUACAAUGUGACACAGUGUGACACUGUACUGUGUGUCCGGUCGUACGGGGUGACUGAACUUGCACCAACUCUGCCUUCGGGGCUUUCCUCCUGGAUUUAUAGGACUAAAGUGUUUGUUGUGUUUUUAAAGUUGCCAGUUAAUACCGUUAUCAAUUUGGUGUCGGACAUCGGCCACAACAUCGUGCAAGAUGCGUUCCUCAUCGCGGUGGAGGAGCGCGCCCGCCAGCGGCUGCAGCGACUAUCGGCCCUCAAGCGGAUCACCCCUGUUGAUAUGUCCAAACUAUCUCUUGAAGUAA